rnacentral:sRNA from 2 species
AUUCUACCCAUGUGGGGAAGGAUGAGAAGCUUCGACUAAGGUUCGAUUCGAGCGAAAGCGAGAAAGCGUUGCCGCAGGCAACGACCCGAAGGGCGAAGCGCGCAGCGCUGAGUCAUCCUUCCUCCACCACCA